CAUGCGUAGAACAUUCUAGUGGCAAGCUUUCAUCAGCCGACUGAAAUUUCCCCCGCUGGUAAUCUUCCACAAGUGUACGACGGCAAAAGCUCAGUGGUGAUCAUGCUGAUAUUCUGGCGACCAUCAUACCGUGGAGAGGCGUGAAUCAUGAACAGGUGCUGCAUCCGGAGAGAGAGGAAAGGAUGCAACGCAGACGUGUUCAGACGCCCUACCUCAGAGUUCGGCUCCAGGCUGAUUCCCCAGUCUAUUCCAUCCUCAACUGUGAUGCCUGAACUCACACCCAGGGAAUCUGAUACUUUGCCAAAGUCACCCCAGUCGAUCUAAAACAGAUUUUAGAAGACGAAGCAGAAACUGCGGUACUAGCUCCAACCAGCACGAAGCCAUUUAUCGUUAAACUUGCAUCUUUACAUCUUGUACCCCGGAAGUUCUCAGUGUUCUGAUGCUGGAGCAGAAUCAAGGACAUGACUGAAGCCCAAGUGGAACCAAUACUAACAUUUGGCAACAUGAACCACCUUCCUCUGAGGAGAUGUCAGUUUUAGCUGCUAAUUUAAAGUUUUCUAACCAUAGUGAAGUGACUUCUAUACUCCUCUACAUUAGCUGUAUUUGAUAUGCACAUGUUAGACUUUGUACAUCCACAAGGCCCUACUUGGGAAAUGUGAUAAUUAGAGGGCGUACAUAGAGCUCUAAAAUUUACUGUGACAUGCAAACGUCACAAAGAAGUUCUCUUGGACUUGCUUUGUGCUGCUAUAUCAGCAAUCUUUAUAUGGAAAGUUUUACAUUUUAGUCCACAACACUGGAUGAUUAAACUGUUUUUCUGUUAAGGCAGCAGAGUUGUGAAAUUUCUAACCACAGAACAUCAGAAAACGUGGCUGAAAGAGUCGCAGUUCUGCAGACAGCAAGCUGUGUGAAAAUGAACUUUGGUUAACAUGGUUUAAAUUUAUUUGCACUAAAGAAUGCUUUUAUAUUUACUGACUCGGUUCAUCUGUCUAAAAACUACAGAUGAAAAUGAGCUUUCGGGUCUUGUUUAUUGUCUCUGCAAAAUAAACAAGCUAAUUAAAUAAAUAUAGACAAUAUGACAUAAACUGAAAACAAACAGUCUCAUAGGCACUUUGUGUAAACAAGUAGACUGGUCUGCUUUGCCUUCUCCACCAGUGUGUUGAAAGGCCAACAUCCAAUUAGGCCUAAACCAAUUUCCUGCCUGGGCCCAAGUACAGGGGUCCUUAUAUUUAAGACAUUCUUUUAGGCACAAGCUACAAUAAUUAGGUUAACCAGUAUACAUUAUCUCAUUACUAAUUGGUUUUACGCAUGUUAAACAGCAUGAAAGUCUUAGCUGAACUACAAAGAAUUAACACAUAUUUGUACACAGUCACAUUUCAUGACCUAAAUGGGACAAAAAUAGCAGCACUGAGAGAUGGAAAUUUGCACAUUAACAAGACCAAAAACACUUAAAACUCAUCCAUACUGUCAGUAAAUAUGUAUUAAAAAUAUUUUAAGAUUUAUUUUUAAAGGAGCCAGAGACACCCUGUAUAAAAUACAGAGCAAAAACACACGUAGCUGCGUUCACAGGUGUUUUUAUACUAUAAAGAAGACAUUGUGAUAUGUCUUUCCCUUAUUUUCCUAACA